UGCAAGUCGAACGAGAGAGAGGGAGCUUGCUUCCUCAAUCGAGUGGCGAACGGGUGAGUAACGCGCGAGGAACCUGCCUCAAAGAGGGGGACAACAGUUGGAAACGACUGCUAAUACCGCAUAAGCCCACGACCCGGCAUCGGGAAGAGGGAAAAGGAGCAAUCCGCUUUGAGAUGGCCUCGCGUCCGAUUAGCUAGUUGGUGAGGUAACGGCCCACCAAGGCGACGAUCGGUAGCCGGACUGAGAGGUUGAACGGCCACAUUGGGACUGAGACACGGCCCAGACUCCUACGGGAGGCAGCAGUGGGGAAUAUUGCACAAUGGGGGAAACCCUGAUGCAGCGACGCCGCGUGGAGGAAGAAGGUCUUCGGAUUGUAAACUCCUGUUGUUGAGGAAGAUAAUGACGGUACUCAACAAGGAAGUGACGGCUAACUACGUGCCAGCAGCCGCGGUAAAACGUAGGUCACAAGCGUUGUCCGGAAUUACUGGGUGUAAAGGGAGCGCAGGCGGG
rnacentral:rRNA from 1 species